AUUAUUAUUACCGGGCAGUACUAUUCCUAUGAUGCCUAGCAGAGGAAUAGUUAUUGCUAAUUGAAAACUUUUACCAAUUACCCGCACGCUUGGGGUGAGAUAUCCUCGAGUGAUGCAAUAAUAAUAGUACUGCAUGGGUAAUAUAAUAUU